UGGGGAAUCUUCCGCAAUGGACGAAAGUCUGACGGAGCAACGCCGCGUGAGUGAUGACGGUCUUCGGAUUGUAAAGCUCUGUUAAUCGGGACGAAUGGUUUGUGUGCAAAUAGUGCAUAGACAUGACGGUACCGGAAUAGAAAGCCACGGCUAACUACGUGCCAGCAGCCGCGGUAAUACGUAGGUGGCAAGCGUUGUCCGGAAUUAUUGGGCGUAAAGAGCUUGUAGGCGGUUCGUCGCGUCUGGUGUGAAAGCCCAUCGCUUAACGGUGGGUUUGCGCCGGGUACGGGCGGGCUAGAGUGCAGUAGGGGAGACUGGAAUUCCCGGUGUAACGGUGGAAUGUGUAGAUAUCGGGAAGAACACCAAUGGCGAAGGCAGGUCUCUGGGCUGUUACUGACGCUGAGAAGCGAAAGCGUGGGGAGCGAACAGG
rnacentral:rRNA from 1 species